AACGAACGCUGGCGGCAUGCCUAACACAUGCAAGUCGAACGAGACCUUCGGGUCUAGUGGCGCACGGGUGCGUAACGCGUGGGAACCUGCCCUUAGGUUCGGAAUAACUCCCCGAAAGGGGUGCUAAUACCGGAUAAUGUCUUCGGACCAAAGAUUUAUCGCCUUUGGAUGGGCCCGCGUUGGAUUAGCUAGUUGGUAGGGUAAAAGCCUACCAAGGCGACGAUCCAUAGCUGGUCUGAGAGGAUGAUCAGCCACACUGGGACUGAGACACGGCCCAGACUCCUACGGGAGGCAGCAGUGGGGAAUAUUGGACGAUGGGCGAAAGCCUGAUCCAGCAAUGCCGCGUGAGUGAUGAAGGCCUUAGUGUUGUAAAGCUCUUUUACCCGGGAUGAUAAUGACAGUACCGGGAGAAUAAGCUCCGGCUAACUCCGUG
rnacentral:rRNA from 1 species